GCGCUCUUGGGCAGUUCAUAUACUAAAAUUGGAAUGGUACAGAGAUUAAUAUUGACCCCUGUUGUAAGGAUGAUGUGAAAAUUUCUGAACUCUUAAAUUUUUUU
ensembl:snRNA U6 U6 spliceosomal RNA